UAGGGAAUAUUAGAAAUGGACGAAAGUCUGAUCUAGCAACACCGCGUGUGCGAAGAAGGCCUUCGGGUUGUAAAGCACUUUUUGGAAGGAUUAGGAAGGAAUGUACUUCCAGAAUAAGUCUCGGCUAACUACGUGCCGGCAGCCGCGGUAACACGUAGGAGGCAAACGUUAUCCGGAUUUACUGGGCGUAAAGCGCGUGUAGGUGGUUCUGUAAGUAGGGCGUGAAAGCUCCUGGCUCAACUGGGAGAGGUCGUUCAAAACUAUCAGACUUGAGAGUGGUAGAGGGAGGUGGAAUUCCGCGUGUAGUGGUGAAAUGCGUAGAUAUGCGGAGGAACACCAGUGGCGAAAGCGGCCUCCUGGACCAUUCCUGACACUCAGACGCGAAAGCUAGGGUAGCAAACG
rnacentral:rRNA from 1 species